rnacentral:lncRNA from 1 species
UAUCAAUUCUAUGUUUGCGAGGACGCUGCAUAGUUAGGAGUGGAGCUAUGUAAAAUGGAUAGAAAUUUGUUUUUAUAAGAUAUGGAUAAAGUAGAUUAAUCAAUCCUAGGAUUUUCAAUUCAGUAGGUUGGAUGAUUGAAUUAGUUGUGAAAAAUAAUUAAGUAGGGAAUGAUGGUUAGAAUUUGGAAUUUUAGAAGUAAAGCAUAAGUAAGUUGAAGAAGAUAUUAGAGGAGCCAGAUUGUGAUAGUCAUGAGCUGGGAUAAGCUUGGUUCUACCUCUUUGUUCUCUUUGUUUCUUUGUAAUUAAAGAAUAAUAGAUAUUUUCUGAAUAUUGUGAAGUAA